GCGCCUUUCUUUCAACAGAGCUGGCCUCUCCUGGCUCAGCGGCUGGCUCCUGCAUGAGCUUGGAGUGUCCCUGGGGUCUCUGGCUCCUUCCCUGUCCCACUUCCGACAAGGCUGUAGUUCUCCGGCUCCUCCGGCAGCUGUUCCCCACACCCAGGCCCUGUGCAGGCCGCCUCCCCUGGCUUGCCUGGACUCUUCACCACCCCCCAAUUUCCUGCCGCAGAGGGCAAGAGGAACUGACCCCAAGCAAGUUCUAGAAGGGAGAGAGGGAGCAGUGAGGGGAGAGGAUGAGGAUUGAGACUCUGGAAGGAGGUGACCCCCAGCAGACGUUGCCAGCUGGGGAACCUUGACCAAGAGGCACUGUGUACAUCACUUAAUGUCACACAGCUACCUGCAGUAGGGCUGGACCCCAGGCUCUUCACUGCCAGGUCAGUGUCCACUUCAAACAGAAUGGUCCCAAGCAACUCUUCCUUCAGAAGAACAACCACGGGCAAAGGAACAAAGCAGUUAAGAGUUGCCCAUUCAUUUGCUGCUGAGUCCCUGUGACAACGUCCAUGAUAAAGAACUUGUGCCUUCCUGGUUCUGGGUCCUCUCUUGUGGUGGUCCAGCCCUCAUGGCCUGGCUCCAGGGUUGGGAGGGUUUACGAGAAGUGACUGCUGGAGCUAGCAGGCCUGGCUUCACCUCUGACCUUGGAUAAGGGACUUCAUGUGUCUUUGCUUCUGCUUCUUCCUCGGCUGAGAAUGGGGACAUUAUGAGUGCCUGCCUCACAGGAUUAGCCAUCACCACUGCCAGAAAGCUCCUGCCUUCUCUUGAGCUCUACCCCUGUGCAACAAUUACCAGGAAAGAACGAUCUUUCCCCAGCAACUACCAUGGCUAUAAUUGUGCGUGGAGCCCCAUGGACCAAGAUGAACUUUUCUCCUAUCUGAACGCUUUCAACACUUUCAUUCAUUUCGUUCACCACACAGCUUUCACCAGGUGACUUCUUUUUUUCUUUUUUUUUGUGGUACUGGGGAUUUAACUCAUGACCUUGCACUUGCUAGGCAGGCACUUAUGCCACUGAACUAAAUCCCCAGCCCACACCAGGUGACUUCCACAAGCCAGGGUCACAUCUGAAGGAACUUAUCACUCUGCUUCAGAGUUCUUCCUCAAGGGAAAAGAAAAAGAAGGGCAGCAAAUCUGAGCUUCCAUUAAGCUGCUGUAGUGUACUCAUGGUCUUGGGUUGAAGAGGGUUCAGUUGAGUCUAAAACACACAGACACACACACACACACACACACACGGACUCCACCCUGGGUCAUCUGACCAGGCUGCCUUUGUUCCCAUCUUGUCUCUGGGAUUCACUCUUCUCCUGCUUCUGCUGAGCUGUGCCCUCAAACCCAGGCUGCUCUCUCUGAGCUGUUGCUGGAGGUACCACGGGCUGCCUGCUACACGAAUCCUCCAGAAGCACCGAGUUAGGGGACAGUCCCACUGCCCACUAUGACCUAACCUGAGCACUGGGACUGGCUUCCUAGGAAUGUGGUCACUGUCGUUCCCAGAGACCCUGAGCAUCAAAGGGACCCGUGUCUGGGUUUAACGCUCUGUGGUUGUUGUGUUUGAGUUUCUAGUACUCUCAUCUCUGAAUCUGGGUUUUGUAAGUGAGAGCUGACAGAACAGUGGCGCUUGCACUGGGCCCCUGCAGCCUGGUCCCACCCGCCUUGUGAUUGCUGUUUUCCUCUCAGUGGCAGCCUGGGCACAGGUGCCCAGUGGUCAUCAGACAAAAUCUGAUGGGUCUUAGAGUGGGAUAAUUGCCUUUGUUCCUAGCUAUGACUCCUACCCACCCCCAAUCCAGGGACCAAACACAUCUCCACAUGGAGGUUGUGAUCCCUAAGGAUGUUCCUGGCCCUGAGGGUGGGAAGAAUGGACUGACUUCCCCACCCUGGGUGCACCCAAUUUCCUUGUCGUAUCAAAGCAUACAUCUGGACCUCUAGGGACUUAGCUGAGAGCUUCCCCCUCACUGCCCUUCCAUCCCAUGGCCACUUGAUUCUUGGUCCUUUCUCAGGAACAUCUCUUUUCAGGGAUGAGUGUAGCCCCACAUAAGCCCACGUCUGGACUACUGUCGCUACUGCUGAGGCAUGGCCAGCAUCUGGUCUCCUAUCUGCUCUUGACUGCUGCUGCCAAAGCUGGCAUCACAGGAAAUAGAUGUGACCUGGUCACUCUCCUAUUGAGACCUAUUCCAUAGGUUUCCUCCCCUGAAGCACAGUCGUUUUCUAGAUCCCGAGGAUAUGAUGGUGUCUCAUACAAUUUGUGAUGUCUGCCUAACACAGUGCCUGACACAUAGUGGUUCCCUGUUACAAGUUUGGUGAAUCAGGAAACCAUGACCCUUAGCAUUUAGGGCCCAAAGGAGGGGACACAUUGUGGUGAAAUCAUGGACGGUGUGGGUGCUGUCUUGGCAAGGAUGAGCUCCUGUCAAGAAGGACUAGCAGCAGAUCUAAGCAGGCAGUCCCUUGGCCUCUUUGGGUGGAAAUUAAACGCACUUUCCUAUUGAGCCCUUACAUCUGCACGCUACAUCUCUAGCCAGGCCGGGUGCUGUGAAGCCAUCUGGUGACAAGGACGAAAUGGUCUCAAGGUUGGCCACACCUGGCCAUACAUGUCCAUAAGACUCAGGCAGUGAAGUCCAUGCAUAGGUAAUGAGCACCCAGACAAUGUCACACAGUGGAACAUGCCGGCCACCAGACCCUUCGGUCCCUGCCUUCACGGAGGCUGCAGGCUCAUGAUGAUAUACCUAACUCUAAGCAGGACUUUCUCAUCUCCAGAAGGGGCUUGGAGGACCCCUCACACAAGUUUCUGUAGAGGCUGAAAUAUCACAUGUAAGGUGUUGGAGCCAAAAUAAACCUCUUCUCCUUUAAA